AAAAUAUGUGGUGACAAGAAAGCAUUGCUGUAACAUACCAUGUGAGGAUGAUUCAAAGAUAAAGGCCUAUAAAAAUUAACGGUCAAAGAAGAAUGCGGACUAGUAAAGCAACAACCACCUUAUUAUAAACAGAGGUCUCUCCCUACUAGAAUGCAAGUUCCACGAGAGCAGAAUUUUUGUCUGCGUGGUUAGAAGAGUAUCCAGUACAUAACCCUGGUGCUUCCCGAGUGGCCCUACCUGGUGUACUGUGCUGUCUCCUGGGGACUGUGAGAAUAUCAAAACUGUGCAACUCUUUCCAGUUUCCCUCUCUUGAUCUGUGUUUGUCUUCACCAUACCUCACCCAAGGUAAUAUGGUUAAAAUAACUGUUAACUCAUAUUGACAAAAAUAAAUAUACCCUUAGAACUAUAGGAGUAUUUGGAAAUGUGUGCAAUAAUUUUUUUUCUGGAAAUAAAAUAUCGUAUUCUAAAAGACUCACUUGAUUUUAGAAAACAAGCUAAGGUUUCAUUUACCCAUCCGUUGAUGACUUAUCAACUACCACUCCUUACUAAUUUUAUCAGUCAGUUUUAUUAGGAUGCAGUAGCACACGGCAUAUACAAUUUAAAGAAUUGUAAUGAAC